UUACAGACAACAGACUAACAGGGAUGAAAACACAGCCUCUACCAGCCUUCAUCAGCAGAGGUAGCAAGAUGCUCCCAGAAUAUGGAUUCAUGCCCGGAGGGAGCUGGGAGGAUAACUGCUCAAACUAAUCUGCUUUCUUCUGCUACCGAGAGACCUAGCUGUCACAAAUUGUGUGCUGCAGUGUUCUACUGUGUUAAAAAUGAGCACCCUCACCCUGAAGAUGACUGGCUGAAUGUGGACAUCUUCACCAGACCCUCUCCAGUCAGCCUAGCUGUGAAGAAGGAUUCGAGGUGGAAACUGUGCUGGUUCUAUUAGUCCUCCAUCUGUAUGCUCGGCCGUUAGGGGACUUGUGUGGAAAAUGGAAGGUAAUGUCCCUUCACGAGGAACUCCCUGCUCUGAAGAAGUUUCAAGUCUCAAUUUCAAUGUGAAAUGUUUCUCUCCCUGCAGAUCCUACCAGACUCGGUGACUAUUUCCAGCAUUUUCAAUUUUUAUUUUAGUAACAUCACAUAUUCAUCAACACUGUAAAAAUGCCAUUCUCCUGACUAACCAUGUGAUAAUUUAUUGCUGAUGGAAAGUUAAUUGAAAUUAUGUAAAUUUGAGGCUCUUAACUGUUAAUAGACUACUUGACCUUUAUAAAUGAGUAUAGCUUAUAACACAUAGGUGGUAAACUGCAGGAAACAGAAUUUAAACUCAGUUCUAUCAAUCAAUACUGUGUU